rfam:Postia placenta Mad-698-R POSPLscaffold_224_Cont7253, whole genome shotgun sequence.
GGUCCAAUAGCUCAGUGGUAGAGCGCCCAGUGCAUCUCUGGUAGGUCCCGGGUUCAAACCCUGGUUGUGCCG